GUGGGAAACCAGCACUGCGCAUGCGCAGUCUAGCAGACGUAAGAAAUCAAGAGCACCGCGUGGCGGUGUCGUCAUUAAGCUGACAUGUUAUUUGAAACUUACGAUCAAAAAGUUUGAUUAUCCUUUGAAAGUAUCUCAUUUAAUCACCCGGAGGAGUGGCGCGAUACUGCUAGAACCAAACGGUCAGUUAAACAAAGAGCACGGUCAGCGUUAGCUCGCUUCAACUGUACGUUAGCUAGCUUCAACUGUACGUUAGCGUUAGCUCGCUUCAACUGUACGUUGGCGUUAGCUAGCUUCAACUGUACGUUAGCGUUAGCUAGCUUCAACUGUACGAUAGCGUUAGCUCGCUUCAACUGUACGUUAGCGUUAGCUAGCUUCAACUGUACGUUAGCGUUAGCUAGCUUCAACUGUACGUUAGCUCGCUUCAACUGUACAUUGGUGUUAGCUAGCUUCAACUGUACGUUAGCGUUAGCUAGCUUCAACUGUACGUUAGCGUUAGCCAGCUUUGCGGUGAAACACGGCGAACGGUAGCGGAACGUGACGUCACAUUCAAACAACGGGGAACCAGCAGCGACCUGCGGAGGACGCGUGAGUCUACGGUCGGCUCACAUGUGUAAAGUUAAACUGAACUUCUCCACUUAUCUCUUAAAAAAACAGUAAGGCCAUUAAGCAUCACAGUUAGCGCGCGGGAACUUCAAAAUAAGAGCCUCGUUCCAGUAAUACACACUGUAAUCAUAUAUCACCAAUUACCAAUAAAUGUAAGUAAAGGAGUGAACAAAAUUUAUACAUUUUAUGAAUAAAUUUAAAAACUAAGAAUAACAGCAUUCAAACUGUCACAACAAUCACUUUUAUUGAACACACUGCAGCCUUUAAAAUGGACCGGGAAGUGGAAUAAACACUCAAAAGCGUUUAAACUAGAACUAAACACCAUAACUUGAUUGCAUCACAACAUUCUUCAGAUUCAGCUUUGUGUUCCUAAUAAACAUGUUCUUCGUAGAACGUGUUACUUGUAUUCAAAUGUAAACCGUGUCGAGGUGUGGAGGCUGGCGUUAAGAAGUACACUCACUCAGGUUCUUUACUCUCGUAUUUCUCUGCUAACGUACUCACUUUUUGGCAGAACAUGGGAUACUCAGGAAGCAGAAGUCUUAUGAAAUCCAUCUGGAUGAUCAGGACUCGUCCCGCGAGCAGCACCUGCACAUUUGGAUGUUGUUAUUUCGACACUUGGCCCGCUUAAAAGUUCAGCGUUAAAGUCCGUCCCUACGUUGUGUUAAACAUCUCAUUCCUCAAAGCCCUCCCGAAUACUUUCAUAAAGUUCCAUAAACCUGUCAGGCAAUAUGAAGACAACGCCUCGAAACAAGCUAAAUAUUUAAGGUUGUGAAUGUCUAUUUCCCAGAGUGUGUAUGAGAGGCAUGAA
ensembl:lncRNA